rnacentral:lncRNA from 1 species
CAGCCUGGGAGGCCCCAGACUUGCUGCUCUGGGGGCGGGCAGCUCAGCCUUGCCCCGCCGGGGACGCUGAUUCAUGGAGGUAUACUUCACAUCCAAUUCAUAGAACUUUACCAGCUGCAAAGAAAUGAAAAGAAAAGAAAGUGCUCAGCAAGAACGUUUCCUAUUAGCUGUUCCAAAUAGAUAUGCAAGGUCUCCAGGAUAACAGCUGGUAUCUUGAGAAAUUGAAUUUUCCAGUGCCAGUUUCCUGCCAAAAUGGAGCUGUAGCAUCUUUUUGAGUCCAGUGACAAUAUCAACAGAUUCCUUCCAGAACAUUCCAGUUUGCAGUGUCAUCAAGCAGCAGCACCCUGGUGCCUUUCUCACUGUUACCAACUGUCCUGCUCAUGAUGAAGAGUCACCUGGGGGAAAACAAUGGAAGCCUUCACACAGAAUCUACUCAAUAAAUACGGUCUGAAAGUUGAGAUGCAAUUAACAUGUUAAUGUCCUCCGUGAUGCAAUCAGUCUUAUCAAUUAUAGCCACCGCAGCCCUGAGCACCUUGUGAAGAAUUGCCAAUAAAAAUACUAAAAUAAACUUUGCACAAGAUGGGAGUAUCAUGACAUCUGUUUUCAAAAUUACUUGGCUGUAAUUGUUGAAUCUCAUUAUAGUCGGUAAAAAUUGUGUUCUUUCACCUGGGAUAAGAGCAUGUGCUUUUAAAUAGCAUCACUUCAGAAAUGAAGAGUAGCAAAUCCAUGCUAAUUACACUGUUGUGUCGUGCCUGCCAUAAAGAGAGGAUGCGCGCCAAUGAUUUGUAUCAGUAAGGAC